AACGAACGCUGGCGGCAGGCCUAACACAUGCAAGUCGAGCGAGGACUUCGGUCCUAGCGGCGGACGGGUGAGUAACGCGUGGGAACGUGCCCUUUGCUACGGAAUAGCCCUGGGAAACUGGGAGUAAUACCGUAUGUGCCCUUUGGGGGAAAGAUUUAUCGGCAAAGGAUCGGCCCGCGUUGGAUUAGGUAGUUGGUGGGGUAAUGGCCUACCAAGCCGACGAUCCAUAGCUGGUUUGAGAGGAUGAUCAGCCACACUGGGACUGAGACACGGCCCAGACUCCUACGGGAGGCAGCAGUGGGGAAUCUUAGACAAUGGGGGAAACCCUGAUCUAGCCAUGCCGCGUGAGCGAUGAAGGCCUUAGGGUUGUAAGGCUCUUUCAGUGGGGAAGAUAAUGACGGUACCCACAGAAGAAGCCCCGGCUAACUCCGCGCCAGCAGCCGCUGUAACAC
rnacentral:rRNA from 1 species